GACGAACGCUGGCGGCGUGCUUACACAUGCAAGUCGAACGAAGAGCGAUGGAAGCUUGCUUCUAUCAAUCUUAGUGGCGAACGGGUGAGUAACGCGUAAUCAACCUGCCCUUCAGAGGGGGACAACAGUUGGAAACGACUGCUAAUACCGCAUACGAUCUAAUCUCGGCAUCGAGGAUAGAUGAAAGGUGGCCUCUACAUGUAAGCUAUCACUGAAGGAGGGGAUUGCGUCUGAUUAGCUAGUUGGAGGGGUAACGGCCCACCAAGGCGAUGAUCAGUAGCCGGUCUGAGAGGAUGAACGGCCACAUUGGGACUGAGACACGGCCCAGACUCCUACGGGAGGCAGCAGUGGGGAAUCUUCCGCAAUGGACGAAAGUCUGACGGAGCAACGCCGCGUGAGUGAUGACGGCCUUCGGGUUGUAAAGCUCUGUUAGUCGGGACGAAAGGCCUUCUUGCGAAUAGUGAGAAGGAUUGACGGUACCGGAAUAGAAAGCCACGGCUAACUACGUG
rnacentral:rRNA from 1 species